GGAGGGAUACCCAAGUCUGGUUUAAGGGGGGUUAAUAUUUAUUUAUUAAUUAGGAGCACGUCAGUGCUUGCGUUGGUUCGAAUCCUUCUCCCUCCG
rnacentral:tRNA from 1 species